CCUACGGGGGGCUGCAGUGGGGAAUAUUGCACAAUGGGCGAAAGCCUGAUGCAGCAACGCCGCGUGAAGGAAGAAGGGUUUCGGCUCGUAAACUUCUAUCAACAGGGACGAAAGAAAUGACGGUACCUGAAUAAGAAGCCCCGGCUAACUACGUGCCAGCAGCCGCGGUAAUACGUAGGGGGCAAGCGUUAUCCGGAAUUACUGGGUGUAAAGGGUGAGUAGGCGGCAUGGUAAGCCAGAUGUGAAAGCCUUGGGCUUAACCCGAGGAUUGCAUUUGGAACUGUGCGGCUGGAGUGCAGGAGGGGUAAGCGGAAUUCCUAGUGUAGCGGGGAAAUGCGUAGAUAUUAGGAGGAACACCGGUGGCGAAGGCGGCUUACUGGACUGUAACUGACGUUGAGGCUCGAAAGCGUGGGGAGCAAACAGGAUUAGAUACCCGAGUAGUC
rnacentral:rRNA from 1 species